rnacentral:rRNA from 1 species
UACGGAGGGUGCGAGCGUUAAUCGGAAUUACUGGGCGUAAAGAGCACGUAGGUGGUUUGGUAAGUCGGAUGUGAAAGCCCCGGGCUUAACCCUGGGAAUUGCAUUCGAAACUGCCUCACUAGAGUCUAGAGAGGGAUGGCGGAAUUCCGGGUGUAGCGGUGAAAUGCGUAGAGAUCCGGAGGAACAUCAGUGGCGAAGGCGGCAUCCUGGCUAAGACUGACACUGAGGAGCGAAAGGAC